rnacentral:rRNA from 1 species
UACGAAGGGUGCUAGCGUUGUUCGGAAUCACUGGGCGUAAAGCGCGCGCAGGCGGUCUUCCAAGUCAGUGGUGAAAGCCCGGAGCUCAACUCCGGAACUGCCAUUGAAACUGUUAGACUUGAGGAUGAGAGAGGUGAGUGGAAUUCCCAGUGUAGAGGUGAAAUUCGUAGAUAUCAGGAGGAACACCGAUUGCGAAGGCAGCUCGCUGGAACGUUACUGACGCUGAGACGCGAAAGCGUGGGGAGCAAACAGG